rnacentral:rRNA from 1 species
UCGGGAUCUUGAGAGCGGCGUACGGGUGCGGAACACGUGUGCAACCUGCCUUUAUCUGGGGGAUAGCCUUUCGAAAGGAAGAUUAAUACCCCAUAAUAUACUGGAUGGCAUCAUUCGGUAUUGAAAACUCCGGUGGAUAGAGAUGGGCACGCGCAAGAUUAGAUAGUUGGUGAGGUAACGGCUCACCAAGUCUACGAUCUUUAGGGGGCCUGAGAGGGUGAUCCCCCACACUGGUACUGAGACACGGACCAGACUCCUACGGGAGGCAGCAGUGAGGAAUAUUGGACAAUGGGUGAGAGCCUGAUCCAGCCAUCCCGCGUGAAGGACGACGGCCCUAUGGGUUGUAAACUUCUUUUGUAUAGGGAUAAACCUACCCUCGUGAGGGUAGCUGAAGGUACUAUACGAAUAAGCACCGGCUAACUCCGUGCCAGCAGCCGCGGUAAUACGGAGGGUGCACGCGUUAUCCGGAUUUAUUGGGUUUAAAGGGUCCGUAGGCGGAUCUGUAAGUCAGUGGUGAAAUCUCACAGCUUAACUGUGAGACUGCCAUUGAUACUGCAGGUCUUGAGUGUUGUUGAAGUAGCUGGAAUAAGUAGUGUAGCGGUGAAAUGCAUAGGAUAUUACUUAGAACACCAAUUGCGAAGGGCAGGUUACUAAGGCAACAACUGACGCUGAUGGGACGAGAGCGUGGGGGAGCGAACAGGAUUAGAUACCCUGAUAGUGCCACGCCGUAAACGAUGCUAACUCGUUUUUGGAGCGCAAGCUUCAGAGACUAAGCGAAAGUGAUAAGUUAGCCACCUGGGGAGUACGAACGCAAGUUUGAAACUCAAAGGAAUUGACGGGGGCCCGCACAAGCGGUGGAUUAUGUGGUUUAAUUCGAUGAUACGCGAGGAACCUUACCAAGGCUUAAAUGGGAAAUGACAGGUUUAGAAAUAGACUUUUCUUCGGACAUUUUUCAAGGUGCUGCAUGGUUGUCGUCAGCUCGUGCCGUGAGGUGUUAGGUUAAGUCCUGCAACGAGCGCAACCCCUGUCACUAGUUGCCAUCAUUAAGUUGGGGACUCUAGUGAGACUGCCUACGCAAGUAGAGAGGAAGGUGGGGAUGACGUCAAAUCAUCACGGCCCUUACGCCUUGGGCCACACACGUAAUACAAUGGCCGGUACAGAGGGCAGCUACACUGCGAAGUGAUGCAAAUCUCGAAAGCCGGUCUCAGUUCGGAUUGGAGUCUGCAACUCGACUCUAUGAAGCUGGAAUCGCUAGUAAUCGCGCAUCAGCCAUGGCGCGGUGAAUACGUUCCCGGGCCUUGUACACACCGCCCGUCAAGCCAUGGAAGUCUGGGGUACC